GUGCUCGUGUUGGCAGCACAUACACUAACACUGGAAGGAUACAGAGAAGAUUAGCACGGCCCCUGUGCAAGUACAACGUGCAAAUUCGUGAAGUGUUCCAUAUUUUU